rnacentral:rRNA from 1 species
UACGUAGGGUGCGAGCGUUGUCCGGAAUUAUUGGGCGUAAAGAGCUCGUAGGCGGUGUGUCACGUCGGCCGUGAAAACCUGGGGCUUAACUCUGGGCGUGCGGUCGAUACGGGCAUCACUAGAGUUCGGCAGGGGAGACUGGAAUUCCUGGUGUAGCGGUGUAAUGCGCAGAUAUCAGGAGGAACACCGGUGGCGAAGGCGGGUCUCUGGGCCGAUACUGACGCUGAGGAGCGAAAGCAUGGGUAGCGAACAGG